rnacentral:rRNA from 1 species
UACGUAGGGUGCGAGCGUUAAUCGGAAUUACUGGGCGUAAAGCGUGCGCAGGCGGUUUUGUAAGCCCGAUGUGAAAGCCCCGGGCUUAACCUGGGAAUGGCAUUUGGGACUGCAAGGCUAGAGUGCGGCAGAGGGGACUGGAAUUCCUGGUGUAGCAGUGAAAUGCGUAGAUAUCAGGAGGAAUACCGAUGGCGAAGGCAGGUCUCUGGGCUGACACUGACGCUCAUGCACGAAAGCGUGGGGAGCAAACAGG